rnacentral:rRNA from 1 species
UCCCUGCCCGCUGACGUAUUUUGAGUUGAAGGGCCGCGGUAUUUUGACCGUGCAAAGGUAGCAUAGUCAUUAGUUCUUUAAUUGUGAUCUGGUAUGAAUGGCUUGACGAGACAUGGGCUGUCUUGGGUAUGAAUUUGUUGUUGAAUUUGGAGUUUAAGUUAAAAUUCUUAGAUGUUUUUAUGGGACGAGAAGACCCUAUAGAGUUUGACAUUUGAUUGUGUAUUCUUUAUUGUUUGUUUUGGAUUUUUGCGCAUCUUUUGUUUUGUUGGGGUGAUGGGAGGAAUUUAUUUAACUCCUCUUUUGUGUGGUAUACUGAUUUGUAAUUGUUUUGAUCCAUUUAUUUUGAUUAUAAGAUUACUUACCUUAGGGAUAACGUCGUUAUCUUCCCUGAUAUUCUUAUUGUUUUGGUGUAUGCGACACUAAUGUAUUAUUAUGUUAG